UAAAAAACAAACAGGCCUUUAUCAAAAUGGGGCUCCUACCCUCCCACAAAGACUGGGAAACGGGGUGCUAUCUUCAGAUGCUGGGUGGAACGAUCAGUACAUUCUUUUGGCUGCCUUGAGUGUUUUCAGGCAGACACUUUAAGUAGAGGGAUGCUUUAUCCUAAGGAUGUGGCCUUGAGCUGUUGAAAGCUUUAUUAGUGUUUAUUCAAGUCUUUAUGGCUGCAAUCCACAGGCCCAGGAAAGAAGAAGGAGCCUGGCUAGAGUUUGGGCAAGGAGAGCGUCUUUGUCACCAUUCACUUCUGGAGAACGCCUGGGGAAUCUGCAGCUCUGACUGUUACAGUGCAGAGAGCCCCAGACCCACACUGCCCUCACAGGCCAGCCCAGCCCAGCCCAGCCCAGCCCUCGCCCGACCUCGGGGCGCCUCUGAUGACGAGAGUGUCAGCACAUCAGGGGGCGAGCGUCUACCACACAAACCUCACCAGUCCCGCCGCUUAGAGGCUGGAAGGCAUCCCUGGCGUCUUCUCUCGCUGUUUCUAGAUUCUGAGCCAAAGAGGGAAAAAAAGGGCGGGGGUGGGAGGUGACAAGAAAGAGAGAUUCUGAUCCAUGAUAUUAUUCGACCAUGACCCUCUGCUGUAGAAAAGAAAAAGAACCCAGAGCCACACACCUUCCUAGCAUUUUCAGUUAAAGAGACUGUGCGUGCAUGCUGCGCUGAGUCACUCAGUCGCGUCUGGCUCUUUGUGACCUUGUGGACUGUAGCCCACCAGGCUUCUCCGUGCGUACAUUCACAAUUACAGAGGCAGCUGGCAGAGUGCAGGAAUACAGCAGUUGUCCAGGAAACAAGAAAUCUGGGUUCCAGUCCUAGCUCUGUCUUCCCAUUCCUUGUGUGGCUUCAGCCAAGUUAUUUCACGUCAGAUGGCCUCAGUAUCACUAUCUGUGAAGCAAAGGAUGGAUCAGAUGAGGUCUCAGAAUCCAUUUAGCACUAAACAUUUGUGCUUCGGUCUCCAAAGCAGAGCUAAGAAAAGAGCCUGAAAUUACUGAAAUAUAAAUUAAAACAGCUGGAUGAAUCAAGCCAGCAUGCUCUGAAGCACUGAACUUUCACAUCUGGCCCUCUGCUUCUUCAGAAGACAAUCGUCGGUUGCUAUUAUUAGGUUUCCUGAGCUGGAAGACAAGAAGACUCACUACUAGUGAACGUUAGCCACAUGCUGAAUGUUACAUGUAUCGUCUUUUCUCAGUUUCUCAGCCCUGCUGUGAGCAGUUAUCAUGACCACCGUUCCCACUUUAAAGAUGGGGACAGUUGAGUCCUCAAAAGCUUGGGUCAAUGCCAAAGGA
ensembl:lncRNA